rnacentral:rRNA from 1 species
GACGUAGGGCGCGAGCGUUGUCCGGAUUUAUUGGGCGUAAAGAGCUCGUAGGCGGCUUGUCGCGUCGACCGUGAAAACUUGGGGCUCAACCCAAGCCUGCGGUCGAUACGGGCAGGCUCGAGUUCGGUAGGGGAGACUGGAAUUCCUGGUGUAGCGGUGAAAUGCGCAGAUAUCAGAGGAACACCGGUGGCGAAGGCGGUCUCUGGGCCGAUACUGACGCUGAGGAGCGAAAGCGUGGGGAGCGAACAGG